rnacentral:rRNA from 1 species
GGUACGCACUACUGUCGGCCGGCUCGCGUGCCGGUUUUCCCGUCGUGGCCUUCGCCGGUCGCGGCGGGUGGCUGGCGAGUUUACUUUGAGAAAAUCAGAGUGCUCAACACAGGCGUCUAGCUUGAAUGAUUGUGCAUGGAAUAAUGGAAAAGGAUCACGGUCCUCUUUUAUUGGUUUUGUGGACUGAGAUAAUGGUUAACAGGGACAAACGGGGGCAUUCGUAUCGCUGCGUGAGAGGUGAAAUUCUUGGACCGUAGCGAGACGCCCGACUGCGAAAGCAUUUGCCAAGAAUGUCUUCAUUAAUCAAGAACGAAAGUCAGAGGUUCGAAGGCGAUCAGAUACCGCCCUAGUUCUGACCGUAAACGAUGCCAACUAGCGAUUCGCCGGUGGAUUCCACGCCCUGGUGAGUAGCUUCCCGGAAACGAAAGUCUUCCGGUUCCGGGGGAAGUAUGGUUGCAAAGCUGAAACUUAAAGGAAUUGACGGAAGGGCACCACCAGGAGUGGAGCCUGCGGCUUAAUUUGACUCAACACGGGGAAACUCACCCGGCCCGGACACCGUGAGGAUUGACAGAUUGAGAGCUCUUUCAUGAUUCGGUGGUUGGUGGUGCAUGGCCGUUCUUAGUUCGUGGAUCGAUUUGUCUGGUUUAUUCCGAUAACGAGCGAGACUCUAGCCUACUAAAUAGCCGCGAUAUUAUUUUCGUUGUGUCGCGCGCUUCUUAGAGGGAUUCGCGG